GAUGAAGAACGUAGCGAAAUGCGAUAAGUAAUGCGAAUUGCAGAAUUUCUAGUGAGUCAUCGAAUCUUUGAACGCACAUUGCGCCCUUUGGUAUUCCGAAGGGCAUGCCUGUUCGAGCGUCAUUAUCAACCCUCAAGCCUGGCUUGUUGUUGGACCUCAGGUCGCCACUCCGGCGGACCGGUCUCAAAGACAAUGACGGCGUCCGUGGGACCCUCGGUGCAAUGAGCUUCUUCCAAAGCACGCAUCCAGAGUGGGCUCGCGGGGGCCGUCUCCCCGUCAUAUUUUAUCAAGGUUGACCUCGGAUCAGGUAGGAAUACCCGCUGAACUUAAGCAUAUCAAUAAGCGGAGGA
rnacentral:misc_RNA from 1 species